rnacentral:rRNA from 2 species
CGGCGGACGGGUGAGUAACACGUGGGUAACCUGCCUGUAAGACUGGGAUAACUCCGGGAAACCGGAGCUAAUACCGGAUAGUUCCUUGAACCGCAUGGGUCAAGGAUGAGAGACGGUUUCGGCUGUCACUUACAGAUGGACCCGCGGCGCAUUAGCUAGUUGGUGGGGUAAUGGCUCACCAAGGCGACGAUGCGUAGCCGACCUGAGAGGGUGAUCGGCCACACUGGGACUGAGACACGGCCCAGACUCCUACGGGAGGCAGCAGUAGGGAAUCUUCCGCAAUGGACGAAAGUCUGACGGAGCAACGCCGCGUGAGUGAUGAAGGUUUUCGGAUCGUAAAGCUCUGUUGUUAGGGAAGAACAAGUGCGAGAGUAACUGCUCGCACCUUGACGGUACCUAACCAGAAAGCCACGGCUAACUACGUGCCAGCAGCCGCGGUAAUACGUAGGUGGCAAGCGUUGUCCGGAAUUAUUGGGCGUAAAGGGCUCGCAGGCGGUUUCUUAAGUCUGAUGUGAAAGCCCCCGGCUCAACCGGGGAGGGUCAUUGGAAACUGGGAAACUUGAGUGCAGAAGAGGAGAGUGGAAUUCCACGUGGAGCGGUGAAAUGCGUAGAGAUGUGGAGGAACACCAGUGGCGAAGGCGACUCUCUGGUCUGUAACUGACGCUGAGGAGCGAAAGCGUGGGGAGCGAACAGGAUUAUAUACCCUGGUAGUCCACGCCGCAAACGAUGAGUGCUAAUUGUUAGGAGGUUUCCGCCCCUUAUUGCUGCAGCUAACGCAUUAAGCACUCCGCCUGGGGAGUACGGUCGCAAGACUGAAACUCUAAGGAAUUGACGGGGGGCCGCCCAACCGUGGAGCAUGUGGUUUAUUUC